GUCAGCAAUCUGGUCUUCAAGCUUUUGAUCUUAUCUAACAGGCUGGUACAGGGGAAGUCACUACCUACGUUCCUUAUUUGCAUGGCAUCCAGACACCAGCCAACUUCCUAAGGCUGCUUUGCAGGAUCAAUUCACUUAUCCCAGAAGACUAUGCAGAAUAAGAAAGUCCACUCUUGUUUGAACACUGGAGGUGCUUUGAACUUGUGUUGUGUUCAUCAAGUGCUUAGAAAUUAAGUCAGUUGCUCAAGGGCCCUCAGCUCAGAAGAGUUUCCUGAAACAAAUACCAGAGUUGUCAACACACCCGCCAUGUAAUUGGCCUCCAUCAGCUCUUUACUGGGUAAUUUUCAAAACAGAUCAAACCAGAACUAGGCAGAGAAGAGUCAGCAGU